rnacentral:rRNA from 1 species
UACGGAGGAUGCGAGCGUUAUCCGGAUUUAUUGGGUUUAAGGGGUGCGCAGGCGGCGUGUCAAGUCAGCGGUAAAAUGUCGGGGCUCAACCCCGGCCGGCCGUUGAAACUGGCGUGCUCGAGUUGGAGAGAAGUAUGCGGAAUUCGUGGUGUAGCGGUGAAAUGCAUAGAUAUCACGAAGAACCCCGAUUGCGAAGGCAGCAUACCGGCUCCACACUGACGCUGAGGCACGAAAGCGUGGGUAUCGAACAGG